CUUUCUUUCUUUCUUUCUUUUUUUCUGAGAUGGAGUGUUGCUCUGUCACCUAGGCUGCAGUGAAGUAGCGUGAUCUCGGCUCACUGCAACCUCUGCCUCCCGGAUUCAAGUGAUUCUCCUGCCUCAGCCUCCCAAGUAACUGGGAUUACAGGUGCACACCACCACACCCCGCUAAUUUCUGUAUUUUUUUUCUUUUCUUUUUGAACAGAGUCUUGCCCUGUCACCCAGGCUGGAGUGUAAUGGCACGAUUUUGGCUCACUGCAACCUCUGCCUCCCGGGUUCAAGUGAUUCUCCUGCCUCAACCUCCUGAGUAGCUGGGAUUACAGGCACUCGCCACCACUCCCGUCUAAUUUUUUGUAUCUUUACAAAGAUACAAAAAUUAUCUUUUUAAUUGUUGGCCAGGCUGGUCUUGAACUCCUGACCUCGUGAUCUGCCCGCCUCAGCCUCCCAAAGUGCUGGGAUUACAGGUGCGAGCCACCACACCCGGCCCUACUUUCUGUAUUUUUAGUAGAGACACAGUUUCACCAAGUUGACCAGGCUGGUCUCAAACUCCUGACCUCAAGUGAUCCACCCGCCUUGGCCUCCCAAAGUGCUGGGAUUACAAGCAUAAGCCACUGCACCCAGUCUGUUUUCUUUAUUUUCUUAGUUAAAUAAGUUGCACUUGAAUCCUGUCUUAGGGUGCUCUUCAGGAGGCACUCAACCUAAGACACAUCCCUGAGUACUCCAUAAUAAUGCAUUUGAAGUUUGACUAUUAAUCGAUCAUAGAAUUUUAGAAUUUAAAGGGUCAUGACAGACCAUCCAGGAUAGAAACUUCAUUGUCCUGAAAAGGAAACCAGUGUGCAGAUGGAUGAAAUCAUUUGAUCAAAAUCAAACUACUAGCUAAUGAAGGACACAGUACUUGAAUGUGGUCUCUUGACACCCAGUUCAGUUCUACUCUUCAUGGAAUCUGAGCUUAUCUACCUCAUGGUAUUUCUCACACAAAUGGUAAAAAUAUAGUACAUGUUAUCCCUCUUGCACUUGUGACAGACAUUACUAAUCCAUAUCAGCAUUCUUUUUCAAUCAACCCAGAUCCAGUCUCAGAAUCUUCCUCAACACAGAGCUCCAGGCAACAAUUAUCAUUUGGUCAGAGGUAAUCCAUGAAACUAAAUCUAUUUUCCAUGCCUGAUCUCACUCAAAAAGGAUAUCAAUUUUUUUCUGUUUAAAAUUGUCUUUGAUUAUUUUUCAGUCUAUGCUUUGGCAGUAGGUUUCUGGGCAAUACUUUCAUUUGCUCAAGAAUUUCAUGAUUUGUUACUCUUCUGCAUGCACACUGGUAUGUUUGAUGAAAGUUUUAUCCGUGAUCUCCCACCCAGAGAAUACUUUGGGUGAGAGUCUUAAAGCAUUGAUGUGAAGACUAGAAAACCUCCCAAAAGAACCAGCUACAUUCUCAGUCACAUUUUGGUUUUCCUUUUUGUUUUGGUUGGUGCUUUCUCUUAUUGUCUUUAAUUGUGUUACAACUCUUCACAUCCUCCAGACAACCAAUUAUUAUGACCAUCUCCUUGAACAUAUCAAAUUCAAUCAAAAUCCUAUCAUCCUCUAAACUGUUUUUUAUGUCCUCCCAUACUGCUGGCUUCAUAUUCAAUCUGGUGACUUGAUAUUUAGACACAAUGCAGGAGGUUUUUUUAGAAACAUGUUCUCUACAGGUCUUGAUGACACUGAUUUUUUUUCGGUCUUCCUUGAGUAAGCUGGGUGGUUGUAGACCUGCAUGUUGCCUCCAACCCCUUACACCUUGGGGUCAUGUUACCUCACAGUGACAACUUCUCAUCCUGUGAUUUGUCAUUCUGAUCAGGUGAUGCAUUUUAGGCAGGAACUUCCAUAUGCGAGGAUCCAGGGCCACCAGGAGUGGUGCUGGCCUGGCAACUUUUUCAGGGACUUUUCCCCUUGAUACAAGGCUGUGGCCAAAGACACACAACACUGGGACACAGAAAUGGGCCUUUCAUUGAAGACCCAGACUUUUUGGUCAAGUAGGUGUUCACCACCAAAAAUAAAAAUAAAGGGUAGUCAUCAUUCAGACAAAACCAAAUGGUAAUAUUUUAAAGAGUAAAAGGUACCUCUGGCACAUAAAUGCUGACACUCAUGAGACUGAAAUAGAGUGUCUUCCUAAAAUGGCACCACUGUCAACAGGUCAGUGAAAGAAUGUGACAUUCGUAAAUGCAAUGGAGGUAAUCCUCAACUAAUGGAACAAGUCAAUUCCAUGCAUGUUUACUUAGCCAUAAAGUUUUAUCACAUUGGUCUGAUUUUCCCACUGACAUUCGUUGUAAUAUUGAAAAAGUAAUUCUUUCCUGAAAAAGUCUUGCCCUUAGAGAUUCAAUAAAUACAAGCAACAAUGCAGGAGCAAUUCAAAAUAACCUCUUUAAAGUAAGGUCAUUACUAUUUUUGAAAGGAAUGGUUAUAAUAGACAAAAAUAUUAGGAACAAUUUUGUGCUAUAAUUGAAAGAAGUCAUAAAAUUAGGUCAGAUUCCCUAGCAACAGAGCCUGAGUUUGGGAUUCAUAUGCAAGUGAUUUAUUAAGGUUGUGCCCGCAGGAGAAACGUGUAGGAAGUGAGAGAUGAAGAUAGAGAAGAGGAAGAAGCUAAGCUAGAAUAUGUUUUUCGGUGUACCCUGGUAUCUGCCUGAUCUCCCAGGGAGCUCUAGAGUGUAUAACUUCCAUAACAGCAUUUGUCCCUCCUAGGGGCAAGGGAGCUCAGUUCCUCUACCUCCAUACCAGUCAGUUAUUGUCUACGUACCAUCUGAUCAGGAGAUGAAUGUCAACUCCCAGGCACCUCUGGGAGAGGCACCCUUCAGUCUCCCAAAGGCAGUGCCCUGGGAAAGAAUCCAAGUGUGAGUCCUUAACAGUAAUACAGUCAAUAAGCAGUUGGCUUAUGAAUGCACCUGAUAAGUAAAAGAGACCAAGCCCAGGGCAUCUGGGAGAGGCACAAAAGAAAAGAAAGACCACUAAGGAAAGUCCAAAGAAUAACUGCACAAGUUUGAGAGAAAGAGAAUGUGGCUCAGCAGCUAAGUCAUAUAAAAACGUCUAAGGGAUCCUGAUUGGCAGUAAACUCAGUACAAAUUAACAGUAAUAUAGUCCUGUUUAAGAAAGAAAAAAAAAAGGCCACCAAAUGCAAGGAUGUGGAGCAGCAGGAACACUCAUUCAUUGCUGGUGGGAAUGCAAAAUGCUACAGCCACUUUGGAAGACAGGCAGUUUUUUACAAAACUAAACAUACUCUUCCCAUAUGAUUCAGCAGUUGCAUGACUUGGUAUUUACCCAAAUAAAUUGAAAACUUUUGUUCACACAAUACCUGCACAUGAAUGUUUCUGGAAGCAAUAAAGCUUUAUUCAUAACUGCCAAAACUUGGAAGCAACCAAGAUGUCCUUCUGUGAGUGGAUAAAUAAACUAUGGUACUUCCAUACGAUAGAAUAUUAUUUAGCACUAAAAAGAAAAAGAACUGAGUUAUCAAGCCACAGAAAGACAUGGAAGAAACUUAAAUGCAGAUUCCUAGGUGAAAGAAGUCAGUCUGAAAAGGCUACAUACUGUAUAAUUUAACUAUAUGACAUUCUGGAAAAGGCAAAACUCUAGAGACAGUAAACAGAUGAGUGGUUGCCAGAGAUUUUGGAGAAGGAGGGAGGGAUGAAUAGGUGGAGCACAGGCAAUUUUCAGGGCAGUGAAACUAUUCUGUAUGAUAUUGCAAUGGUGGACACAUGACAUUAUGCAUUUGUCAAAAACAAUGGAACAGGCCAAGGCAGUGGCUCAUGCCUGUAACUUUGGGAGGCUGAGGCAAGUGGAUCACCUGAGGUCAGGCGUUUGAGACCAGCCUGGCCAACAUGGUGAAACCCCAUCUCUACUAAAAAUACAAAAAUUAGCUGGGCGUGGUGGCAAGCACCUGUAGUCCCAGCUACUUGGGAGGCUUGACCCAGUAGGUGGAGGCUGUAGUGAGCUGAGAUCGCACCGCUGCACUCCAGCCUGGGUAACAGAGCAAGGCUCCGUCUCAAAAAAAAAAAAAAAAAAAAAAACCAUAAAAGACAAACAAAAACCAAUGGAACUAUACAACACAAAAAGUGAACUCUAAACUAUGGACAUUAGUUAAUAACAAUGCAUUGGUUCAUCAGUUGCAACAAAUGUAUCACACUAAUGCAAGAUGUUAAUAAUAGGGGAAACUAGGGGAGGGGGGUAUUUGAGAAUUUUCCGCUUUCGCUAAAUUUUUCUGUGUACCUAAAACUACUCUAAAAACAAAGUCCUUUCCUUAAAAAAAAAAAAGGUAAUAAUGAAUUUGGGGGCAAUACUAAUAGAAACAUACUAACGAGAAUGGGCAUGAAUAACGACUUUAUUCUACUUUUCACUGUUAAAAACAGGCAACACCUGUGGUAUGUGCUUACUUCAAAGUGCCAAAUGUUGCAAAGGGAUUAUGAAAACUAGGUAUGUGCAGAAUAGAAAAACCGAUGCCCUGAAAGGAUGCAAAACCAUGUCACAUGAGGAUAUGCAGAAGGGAAUGAGAAUCUUUAACUUGCAGGAGUAGAGAUAAUGAGUGGGGUGGAAUGCAAGAGCAGUUGUCUUUAGACAUUUGAAGAGCUGCCUUAUGAAGGAAUGAUUUCUACUACUCUAAGUUGAUAACUCAAUCUGGGGAAAGUCAGCUGCCAUUUAUGAACAGCCCUAUGGAGAGGCCCUCAAAGUCAAGGGACUGUAGUGUCUGACAGGAGCCAUGUGAGUGGGCUCAGAAGCAGACUCUCCAGUCGCAGUCAAGCCUACGAUGACUGCAGCCCCAACCAACAACUGAAUAACCACGUCAUGAUAGAUACUGAGCCAGAAUCACCCAGCUAAGCUGCUCUCAAAUUCCUGAUCACAGAAAGUGUGAGAUAAUAAAUGUUUGUUAUCUAAAACACCCAA